AUGUGAAAUCAAAAAUUUCCAUUCUGAAGGAGCUGGCCCAUGGGCAGCAGGAGACAAAUACAUGGUUUCAGGAAAAAUGAAGACCAGUUCUUUGAAAUUAGGAAUGAUGCGCUUUCUUUGCUGCCAAAAGGACCCUAAGCACAUCAGGGGAAGCCAGCUGUCAUGUUUUGGGGACAUUAAUGCAUCCAAUGGAAUGGUUCUAUAUGGAGAGGAGAGCAACUGAAGAGUCUAGCAGCAACCAGUGAGGAAGCAAGAUCUGCCGCCAAACACAUGUGUGAACUUGGAACAGGAUCCUCUCCCAGUUGAGUCUUCUGAUGAAGUUCUGGCCCCAGCUGUCUGAAACUGUAUGAGACUGUGAGCCAGAACCAUCUAGCUAAGCUCUUUCCAGAUUCCUGACCUGCAGAAGCUAUGAGCUAACAUCUGUUGUCUUAAGU